CGUCGGGCCCUUAAGGGGGGUGGAUUGUAAGAUCCCACAUCGACCAAACGGAGAGGGGGUGAUGUGCCUUAUAUGGCACACCUCGCAUCCAUCUAGCACGAGGCCUUUUGGGAGCUCACUGGCUUCGGAGUUGUAAGAACUCCGAAGUUAAGCGAGUGGGAGGCUGGAGCAAUCCCAGGAUGGGUGACCACCCUGGGAAGUUGCUCCGUGAGCUCCCAGAAACAAAACCGUGCGGGCUGGUGAGAAUGUAGCCAGGCCCAAAGCGGACAAUAUCGUGCUACGGCGGAGUCGGUCCGGGGCGUGACAGCUGACGUGGCAUAUAGUACAUCACAAAACAUCCCUGAGGUUUACACACUUAUCA
rnacentral:lncRNA from 1 species